UCAGAUUCUCCCCAGGCCACAAGGAUGCGGGUCAUCGGGCCCCAAACCCUCCUCCUGCUGCUCUCGGCGGCCCUGGCCCUGACCGAGACCUGGGCGGGCUCCCACUCCCUGAGGUAUUUCUACACCGGGGUGUCCCGGCCCGGCCGCGGGGAGCCCCGCUUCAUCGCCGUCGGCUACGUGGACGACACGCAGUUCGUGCGGUUCGACAGCGACGCCCCGAAUCCGAGGAUGGAGCCGCGGGCGCCGUGGGUGCAGCAGGAGGGGCCGGAGUAUUGGGAUCGAAACACGCAGGGCGUCAAGGACACCGCACAGACUUUCGGAGUGAACCUGAACACCCUGCGCGGCUACUACAACCAGAGCGAGGCCGAAUCUCACACUCUGCAGUGGAUGUACGGCUGCGACGUGGGGCCGGACCGACGGCUCCUCCGCGGGUACGAACAAUUCGCCUACGAUGGCGCGGAUUUCAUCGCCCUGAAUGAGGACCUGCGCUCCUGGACCGCGGCGGACACGGCGGCUCAGAUCACCAAGCGCAAAUGGGAGGACUCCGGUGAGGCAGAGCGCGACAGGAACUACCUGAAGGGCACGUGCAUGGAGUGGCUCAGCAGACACCCGGAGACCGGGAAGGACACGCUGCAGCGCGCAGACCCUCCAAAGACACAUGUGACCCGCUACCCCAUCUCUGACCUUGAGGUCACCCUGAGGUGCUGGACCCUGGACUUCUACCCUGCAGAGAUCACACUGACCUGGCAACAUGACGGGGAGGACCUGACCCAGGACACAGAGCUUGUGGAGACCAGGCCUGCAGGGGAUGGAUCCUUCCAGAAGUGGGCAGCUGUGGUGGUGCCUUCUGGAGAGGAGCAGAGAUACACAUGCCAUGUGCAGCACGAGGGGCGGCCUGAGCCCAUCACCCUGAGAUGGGGUAGGAAGGGGGUUGGAGUGUGGAGCUUAUAAUCAGAUAAAGCAGAAGCCCUUCAGGAGAACUUCAGCAAGCCAGCACUGAAGCCUGAGGAAGGCCCUCACCUUCCCUCUCCUCCGCAUCAUUGCUGGCCUGGUUCUCUGUGUGGCCACUGGAGCUGUGGUGGCUGGAGCUGUGAUCGGGAGAAAGAAGCGCUCUGUCAUAGCUCUGGAAACGUCCCUGGAGUCCAGGACUACGGGGCUCCUCUAGGAUCUCAUGGCCCUGCCUCCUCCCUGGCCUCCCAUGUGACGUUUUCUUCCCACAGGCAGAGAAGGAGGGAGCUACGCUCAGGCUGCUGGCAGCAACAGUGCCCAGAGCUGUGAUGUUACCUUUCACCAGCCCUAAAGGGCUGUUUCCUGGAUUAUCCUUUCCAUCUUUUCCGAAGAACCAAAUUCUGGAAAGGAACAAGGACUAAACCCUGGAAGUCCCGGUGCUGCAUGAUCUGAUCAGACCACACACCUGAGCAGACUGCAGAGUUUUGGCACUACGUGUGGACAGCACAGAGACCAGGGAGUCCUAAACUUUAUUCGCAUAAGAAUCAUCGGGACAUCUUGAUAAGAUUCAGAAGGUCUGCAGUAGAUUGUGUAUUAUAACAAGGUUGGUGCUGAUGCUGCUGGCUUUCAGACCACACACGUAGCAGCAAGAAUGCACGUGGACCAGGAUUCCCACGUGGCUGUGCACCAGCCUCACCUGUAGGGCUUGUCGAAUAAGCAAUUCUUGGGCUCUGUGCCCAGCAUUCUGAGGUGGUGGGUCUGGGAGGAGGCCUGAGUAUUUUGCAGCAAUCCCUACAAGCAGUCCUGCGGUUCAGCCAGAUUGGGAACCGCUGAGGUCAGUGAUCAGAGAGCGCUCAGGUUGGGGAGGAGCCUUAAAUCCACACUUAAACCUUGUUUUUUCCUGGGAAGAAAAGGGCGAGAUGUACGCUGGAGGCACAUGUUGGUUUCUCUACCCUGGGGUAUUUGGCCGGGUGGAAGACAGGAAGUGUUCUUAGCUCGAGAUAAUGAAAACCUGUGAAUCUUUGCUCUCCAAAACUAUUCCCUAGAUAGAUUUCUCACUCAUUCCUUGGUGUAAACAAUGGAAUACAAAUUUUUCUAAUUGUAACACAAAUGAAAAUUGUGUGUGUAUGUGUGUCUUGUGUACCCUGGGGACUCAUCUCAUUUCAGGGAAAGCCACAGAACAAGCUUGAGGCUACACAGCCAGGAACAGAAUCCACAAUCCACCCAAGGUCAAGUCCCACAUAGGGGGAUUCUGUAAUGGCAUGAGACAUUUGGGGCCUUGGAUGGGAUGGAGUUUAUUUUGCAUGUGGGAGAAAUGCAAAUAAUUAGUGUCCAAACGGUAGAGACUGUGGUGGUUUUCAAAUGUCCCUGUACUGUAUGAUACUCGAGAGGCAGAAACAAUAUCUUCCAUAGUGGCUGUGCUAUUCUGCAUUCCUGUCAGCAAGGAGUGAGUGUUCCUGCCCUUCUGAAUGUUUGUGUGCCCUCAAAAUUCUUAUGUUGAAAUCCUAAUGCCCAGUGUGGUGGUAGUAGGUGGGGUCUUUGGGAAGUGCUUAAGUCAUGAGAGUGGAGCCGUGAUGAAUGGGAUGAGUGCCUACAACCCUGUUCCCAGUCCCCAAGGUGUGGGUUUUUUCCACACCACCUAGCACUUCUCUGAUACCAGCAGGGGUUCUUACAAUUCAAUUCAAUUCUGACACUAUCUACACUAUCUACCUGGAGAUCACAUCAGAUCACACGGGUUAAAGAUUCAGUCUCACAAGAAGAGCCACCCCUCCCAAUUUUAGAUGCCAAUCGCAAAUACAGGUUGUCACCUGUGAUUCUGACUGAUGGGCUGUGAAUCAGUCGUUCCCAGGACCCCUCCUGAUUUGCUAGAGGCUCACAGAACUCAUUUUACUUAAUGUUUGUCAGUUUAUUAUAAAAGGAUAUGAUAAGGGAUACAGAUGCACAGUGGUUAAGAAUCUGCCUACCAAUGCAGGGGACAUGGGUUCGAGCCCUGGUCUAGGAAGAUCCCACAUGCUGUGGAGCAGCUAAGCCUGUGAGCCACAACUGCUGAAGCCCCCGCACCUAGAGCCCGUGCUCUGCAGCAAGAGAAGCCACCACAAUGAGAAGCCCACGCACUGCAAUGAAGAGUAGCCCCUGCUCACCACAACUAGAGGAAGCCCGCUUGCGUCAACAAAAACCCAAUGCAGCCAAUAAAAUUUAAAAAAAAAAAGGAUACAGAUGAGCUUCCAGAUGGAAGAGAUGCAGGGGGGCAAAGUAUGUGGGGAUGGGCACCAAGCUUCCAUGUCCUCUCUGAAUGCACCCCUUUCCCAGCACCUCCACAUGUUCACCAACCUGAAGACCCUCCAAACCCCAUCCUUUUGGGUUUUUAUGGAGGCUUUAUUACAUAGGCAUAAUUGAUUAAGUCAUUGGCCAUUGGCAACUGAUUCCACCUCCAGCCCCUUUCCCCUGCACAGAGGUCACGGGGGUGAGACUGAAAAUGACAACCCUCUAAUCAUGGUAGUUUCCUCUGGUGACCAGCCCUCAUCCUUAGGUUAGCUAGGGACUUUCCAAAAGUCACUUCAUUAACACAACAAGACACCUUAUUGCUCUCAUCACUUAGGAAAUUCCAAAGGUUUUUGUAGCUCUAUGCCAGGAAAGGGGAAAAAGACCAAAUAUACACUUCUUAUUAUAAAUCACAAUAUCACAGUGCCUCACGUAGAGAUCCCUAGCCCUUUAUAUUGUGUGAGGACAUAGCCAGAAGGUGGCAGCUAUGAACCAGGAAGAGGGUCCUUACCCAACCUUGCUGGUGCAGUGAUCUUGGCCAUCCUGGCCUCCAGAACUAUGAGCAAUAACUUUCUGUUAUUUAUAAACUAUGGCUGAUGCUAUUUUGUUACAGCAGCCCUAACAGAACUGUAGUUCCUGUUGCUCCACAUCCUCACCAGUACUUGGUAAUAUCAGUUUUUAUUUUAACUAAUCUAAUAGAUGUGUAGUGGCAUACUAUUUUUUUAUUUGCAUUUCCCUAAUGACAUAUGAUAUUGAGCACCUUCUCAUAUGCUUUUUCAUAUACCACCUGUAUUGUCUUCAGUUAUGUGUUAUCUGUUUUCUUAUUGUUGAGUUUUAAGGGUUCUUUGUAUAUUUUAGAUACGUCUUUUAUCAGAUACGUGAUUUGCAAAUAUUUUCUCCAAGUCUGUGGCCUGAACUCUUUUACUGACAAAACAGCAUAUACUAAUGACUAAAUAUAAGCAUAGAUUUGUAUUUUAGAAAAAAAAUACUAGUAUUUUUCUGGAAAGAGAAAUGAGAAAUUGCUAACUGUGAUUUCUGGGCAGAUGGCCUUGGGUGACUGAGGGAUGGCAGUUGGAGAGAUGUGACGUGUGUGCGUGUGUGCGUGUGUGUGUGUGUGUGUGUGUGUUUAUCUAUACAUCUAUAUCUAUAUAGAUAUAUGCCCCUCAGCAUUUUAAAUUUUCUUGUGUGUGUAUCAAAGAAUGCUUUCAAAACUAAAUUACAUUAAAAUCCUUUAAACUUGUAAAACACUUGACAGAUCAUGUCCAAAUCAUGUGUUAAAACUCAUAAUCUGAUCCUCUAUUCUAGAACCAAUGAUUUAUUUUUGAGUUUUUUUUUUUU